UCGCCGCAGCUAGAGAAAGCCUGCCAGCAGCAAUGAAGACCCAACACAGCCAAAAGUAAAUAAAUUUAUUUAUUAAAUAAAUAAAUAAAUAAAAAGGAAGGUUUCAAUUGAGACUUGUCUCCUCUCGCGACUGACUCCGGGUGUUGGUACAACCCGAGGGAAGUUGCUGUGAUGGUGUGAGUGGUGAACGACCUGAUGAAGGGCAUAAACGGAACAGAAGUGCUGGGACCCAUGGAAUGCGUGUAGGCUGUGAAAGGAGCUCUGACUGGAAUAUCAGCAGAGGGUGGGAAUGCCCCAGGAGGGGUACAGGAGUGAUUUCUGAGGCCCUGAGAGAGAGUACAGCUAACAGGGCUCCCAGCCCUCCAUCAGCCUUCAGUGAAGGAUUGGAUUGGAUGGAGUUGAACAGGACCCUGAAGAAGGCAGCAUUUGAAACACCUGUGAGAGCAAUUUGAGACCUUUAGGAGGAAGGGGUAAUGAUGUCAGAUAUAUGCUGAUUUGUGUUUUUUUGUUGUUGUUGUUUUGUUUUAAAGGAAGAAAAAUAAAUGUUUUCAACUUUAUUUGGUUAAUGUUGCCUUAACUGAAUGGAAAAGACUCAGUGGACUCCAGUUAUAACAGAUACUCUGAAUGCUGCCAGAAUUGUUUGUAGGAGGUUACAACUUGUUCUCAACACUUACAGUCAUAGAAUCAGGAAUCUGGCUCAGUUUACUGAGAAAUUCUGUAGAAACCACAGUGCCACACAGAGCUACCUGCAUGACGACGGCCCAGGGCAUACGGGCAGCUUAGAUGGUACCAAGGGCAAAGCAGGACAAGGCCUGGAAGAAUGAGGAAGAGGUGGUGACCAAGUGUCACUGGCCAACAAGGUCAUGAGAAGGCAUAAAGCAGAUGAGAAGACGGAGAAUAGAAAGUAAAUUGUUCGCCUAGAUCUUCCAGCACUACAUUGAAAAACGUAGUGAGUGGUUGGGACUUCCGUGGUGGCGCCGUGGUUGAGAAUCCACCUGCCAAUGCAGGGGACAUGGGUUCGAGCCCUGUUCCGGGAAGAUCCGACAUGCCGCGGAGCAAC